rnacentral:tRNA from 1 species
GGGCACUUAAUUCAGUGGUUAGAAUCUCCGUCUCAUACGCGGCCAGUCCUCAGUUCGAAUCUGAGAGUGCCCA